CCAAAACGUUUCGUUUUAAGGUCCCGUUUUCACAUUUUUUUUCUAUCGAUAUGUUUAUCGUUUUUGGCAAUUGACCUGGCUGUUUUUUAAAUAUACAGCGAGAUUAAAAUGCCAAUUGCUUGUUUUGAAGCAAAACGACGGCAGAAAUUACAUAAUCUAAGAAGAUCCAUGUGUAUUUAACAUGUCUGACGAACUAUUUGUGAAGUCUUUUCGGAUCGACAAGUAAACUUUCAAAAUGAUUUUGGAGAAAUAUGAUUUAUACUUUCCUCUAGAUAUAAAAAAUAACAAAGCGGUAAUUUCUGAUAACUUAAUCGGACUGCGUCACCAAAACGAAAAUUGUUAUUGCCCUGGCCAAUUUUUGCGAGCCAAAUUUAAGGUUGGGUUAAAAUAAAACUAUUUAUAAAGAAAGCCCAA